AGCUACGGCCACACCGCCUGGUUCACGCCCGAUCUCGUUUUUCUCGGAAGCUAAGAUAGGUUGGGCCUGGUUAGUACUUGGAUGGGAGACCGCCUAGGAAUACCAGGUGCUGUAAGGC
rnacentral:rRNA from 1 species